CCGUAAUUUUCGCUUAAAUUCAACAAUUUAUAACUAUAAUAUGCCUAUGAAUCGAAUUUAAAAUUUUUUAUAUAAUAUGCCUAACAUAUACCUUUAAUAUGAUUGCGCGGCCAUUUCUUUUUCAUUUCUUUCUUUUUUCAUCAAAGGCUAGCUUCUUUUACUCCUGCCUUCCCGCUCCAUCAACUUAGACUUGGAAUUCUUAGUCGAUCCUAUGCCUACCAAAGCAAAAGACAGGCUUAGCCUGGAUCAUUUAACACAAACCGAAAGACUUGCGUAUCGAUCUGACUUCGACACUGGUGAAUCUCAAGAACAAAGCUUGGCUUGAAAGGGGCGAAGAGGAAAACGAGAUCACCCUAGAAAAGAAGGUUAGACUAGCGCUUGCUUAUAUUUUAGGUGGAAUGGCCAGUACUGGGGCUUGAUGACCCAAAGUACAC
rnacentral:misc_RNA from 1 species